AGCGGCGGAUGGGUGAGUAACACGUGGGGAACCUGCCCCUAAGUCUGGGAUACCAUUUGGAAACAGGUGCUAAUACCGGAUAAUAAAGCAGAUCGCAUGAUCAGCUUUUGAAAGGCGGCGUAAGCUGUCGCUAAGGGAUGGCCCCGCGGUGCAUUAGCUAGUUGGUAAGGUAACGGCUUACCAAGGCGACGAUGCAUAGCCGAGUUGAGAGACUGAUCGGCCACAUUGGGACUGAGACACGGCCCAAACUCCUACGGGAGGCAGCAGUAGGGAAUCUUCCACAAUGGACGCAAGUCUGAUGGAGCAACGCCGCGUGAGUGAAGAAGGUUUUCGGAUCGUAAAGCUCUGUUGUUGGAGAAGAACGUGCGUGAGAGUAACUGUUCACGCAGUGACGGUAUCCAACCAGAAAGUCACGGCUAACUACGUGCCAGCAGCCGCGGUAAUACGUAGGUGGCAAGCGUUAUCCGGAUUUAUUGGGCGUAAAGCGAGCGCAGGCGGUUGCUUAGGUCUGAUGUGAAAGCCUUCGGCUUAACCGAAGAAGUGCAUCGGAAACCGGGCAACUUGAGUGCAGAAGAGGACAGUGGAACUCCAUGUGUAGCGGUGGAAUGCGUAGAUAUAUGGAAGAACACCAGUGGCGAAGGCGGCUGUCUGGUCUGCAACUGACGCUGAGGCUCGAAAGCAUGGGUAGCGAACAGGAUUAGAUACCCUGGUAGUCCAUGCCGUAAACGAUGAGUGCUAGGUGU
rnacentral:rRNA from 1 species